GACGAACGCUGGCGGCGUGCCUAAUACAUGCAAGUAGAACGCUGAAGAGAGGAGCUUGCUCUUCUUGGAUGAGUUGCGAACGGGUGAGUAACGCGUAGGUAACCUGCCUGGUAGCGGGGGAUAACUAUUGGAAACGAUAGCUAAUACCGCAUGAAAUUGCUUAUCGCAUGAUAAUUGAUUGAAAGAUGCAAUUGCAUCACUGCCAGAUGGACCUGCGUUGUAUUAGCUAGUUGGUGAGGUAACGGCUCACCAAGGCGACGAUACCUAGCCGACCUGAGAGGGUGAUCGGCCACACUGGGACUGGGACACGGCCCAGACUCCUACGGGAGGGAGCAGUAGGGAAUCUUCGGCAAUGGGGGGAACCCUGACCGAGCAACGCCGCGUGGGGGAAGAAGGUUUUCGGAUCGGAAAGCUCUGUUUUAAGAGAAGAACGGGUGUGAGAGUGGAAAGUUCACACUGUGACGGUAUCUUAACAGAAAGGGACGGCUAACUACGUG
rnacentral:rRNA from 1 species